UACGAGGGGUGCAAGCGUUGCUCGGAAUUAUUGGGCGUAAAGGGUAGGUAGGUGGUCUCAUUUGUCUGGGGUGAAAUCCUUGAGCUUAACUCAAGAAGUGCCCUGGAAACGGUGAGACUAGAGUCUUGGAGAGGGUCGCGGAAUUCCCGGUGUAGCGGUGAAAUGCGUAGAGAUGUGGAGGAACACCGAUGGCGAAGGCGAGCCUCCUGGGCCAGCACUGACGCUCAGUGCACGAAAGCGUGGGGAGCAAACAGG
rnacentral:rRNA from 1 species